AAUGUUAAAAAUAUGUCUUUUCCCACGCCUCAAAUGUUUUGCUCAAGGUCUGAGGCUUAAACUCUUGAAAAAGGUACAAAUAAAGUAUGUUGUCGAUGUAAUUUGUCAAUGAAAAUGUCACAUGUCAAUGUAAAAGUAUCCGUUUUAAUUUGAGAAUAUAUACGGCUGUAAUGUGUCAUUUUGUUAACCCGUGUUAAUUUGAUAGAGGCUGGUCGAUUUUAGGUCGCGUGAGCGAUGUGAUGUGUUUUUUACCACUUAAGAAAUAACUAAGGAACGAUAUAUGUAGAGCUAAAUGUGUCAUUCGGGUCCUAUCUGUGCUUCAUCACAUUCAUUAGUAGGUACAAUGUCGUGACAUUUUGCAGAUGUAAGUCAACCUGGCAAUCGGUUCAUUCCAGUAGCAAUUAUUAAUCACCUUUCUGAAGAAAUAAGACAUUUGAUUGAAACCGGUGAUGUGGAGAAAGGAGUUCCUGUUUUAGAUCCAUAUGUGUUCGAAACUCAACGGUUGAACGUUGCAGGAGAUAUUUUCAAUGCUGACAUAAACAUUACUAAUGGAAAGAUUUCAGGACUGGGAAGUUACCAUUUAAAAUCAUUCAACUUGACAAAGGGUGAAAUAUCUAUUGAUCUGGAGAUUAAUAUUCCGCAUUUGGAAUUUGUCGCAGGUAACUAUGUUUAAACCUCUCCUUCUUUUUUACCUUUUCUUGUGCUACAUUGGAUGGAGAUCUCAAUCACAAAUUCAACUCAAUUCUGUUUAUAUGAAAUUCCCAUUGUUGUCGAUCAUGACUCCUACUAGAUGGUCUAUGGUUUAGAUCUAUAUGAUCACACUUUAUUGAC